AUGAUAGCUCAUCACUUUCCACCACUAUCAUUCCGAAACCUUAGUCGGAGUUUAAGGGUUUCAGGAAAUGAUAUGUUCUCACAACCAAUAUUGGCCCGUAGGUUUAGUGUGUGCGACCCUGUUAACAUAGGAGUCAGGCCGAGCGAUUUUGAUAGAAAUUUCAAGUGUAUCGGAUCACCAGUCGAUGAGUAUAUUGAGGAGGAUACAAGUAAUGGAGCAUAUUUUUCACCAUUCCCAUAUGGCUAUGGUACUUAA
rnacentral:rRNA from 1 species